CAGCCUAGGAGGUCCCGAGUGUGCCCUGUAUGUCCCGUGACCUCAGCAAACGUCCCAUCUCCCCCGGGCUCUUGUGUCCUCGGCUGUCGGGGGACCGCCCGGCGCGGGGGUUUUCCUGCGGGUAGUCCGUCAAGGCCCGUCUGUGCCCGUGGCCGACCGGGAGUCGUCGCCCUGUGUGUCGUGUCCACUUUACGGAGAAGGGCCCCAGGCUCAAAAGCCACCCGUUCCGAGGUCAUGACCCAGUAUGUUGCUGAACUGAGGGCAUGAUAAGCGAGCCGGGUGAAGUAGGGUCUCCUGGCCUCCACCUGGGUGGACUCCGAACCCCAGUGCUGCUAGUCCCCGGCUGAACCCCAGGCCUCGGUGCACAGGACACUGGGGCGUUCAUAGGUGGCGGCCUGCAUUUCAGAGUCCAUUGUGAUAAAAUGAGGGUGCAGGCGGUGGGAUGUGCAUAUGCGAGGACUCGGAGGUGAGACUGGCCUGGGAGCAUUUGGGAAAGUUCUGCUGUCUCCACUGCGGGUAAGCGACAGUGUGAGCAUGGGAGUCCUACCUCUGUUGACGGGCUUAGGAUCCUGGGAGCCACAGAUUUUCAUUAGAAGAUGGAUGGCCAUGAUCUGAGUUAGGAUUUUGAAAUUGCGUAAACACAGAGUUGUGGUGAGGGCUGAAAGCAGGCAGCUUCAGGAGGAUGCUGCUGCAAAUGUUUCUCCGGUGACCUUUCGAGAAUAGAAGUAGGAGAGGUGGGAGAAAUAAUCAGAUUCCCGAUACGUUUUUCAAAGUGGAGUCGGUUUUCCAUGUACAAAUGGAGAGUGAAUGUAGUGGAGGAUAAAGGACUAUCCCAAGUGUUACAGAUAAAAAAUGAGAUGGAGAGCGGAGGUUGGUAGGAGGAGUAUGUUUGGCAGAAGAGUAGCAGUUGGAUUAUGUGGGAGUAGAGUCUAAGUUGUCUGGAGACCUCUAAGUGGACCUGACCCGCGUGCCCGUGAACAAACAGGAAAGUUCCAUUUGGCCUCUUGAUGUCUAGACUGCUCUGCCCUGGUGGCCUGGACCAGGGAAUGUCCUGAGAUGGGAUUUUGGAAGGGAAGUCUCAGCUGUGGUUCCAGAUGGGCCCUGAGAUGAGUGUGGGAUGUCCAGAUGAAGGACCAGUAGCUGAGUGGAGGAGGUGGGUGCAGAGAAGAGAAACUGUCCAAACUCCGAUGGAUGUGGGGACAGUGCGCACCCAGGAGGAGGGCCCAUGCCCUCAGAGGUGAAAGGGUGAGCAGGGGUGUCAGGGGACGGGCUUUUGGAGACCUAAGGGGAGGUGUGGGCAGGACAGAGACUGGGGGCCCAGGUCCAGCGCCCAGUGCUUAGAUCACAUUCUUGUGCCCCCUGCCUGGUGUUGCAGGACCCAGUGACUUUUGAGGACAAGAGUGUGUGCCUUUUUUGGGGAAGAAGUAGGUCUCCUUAGUGAGGCCAGUGAGGCCUCUGUUGAGGUGUGGUGCUGUCUUCACCAGGUCAGGCUGCCAUGUUCUCCAGGAGAGGCGCUGCUGGCCCUCGUUCUGGACGUGUCCUGCUGCUUCUCCUCCCAGACCACCGUGUAAGCAACCGCAGCGCUGUUUGCCUUGGGAUCUUGACAGCCAUGGUCCAAGAUCAAAAACAUCACAGCCUGAGUAGCAGCAGAUGGGUCACCUUGGUUGUUUUCUAGUCGUGUGGCCCAGUCCGGGCCUGUGACGUUUCCCUCCCUCUGUCACCUGUCCUCCGGCAGCGUGUGGGGGCUCCGCUUCAUUGCGAUGUGCAGGCUUCUUGUUGUGGUGACUUCUGUGGUUGUGGACCACGGGCUAUAGAGAGCAAGGGCUUCAGUAGUUGUGGUGCAUGGGUUUAGUUGCCCCGAGACAUAGGAGAUCCUCCUGGACCAGGGAUCGCACCCAUGCUGCCUGCAUUGGCAGGCAUUCUCUCAACCACUGGACCAGCAGGGAAGCCUGGCAAGUUUAUGUUUAACUCCUUGGAAGCUCCUGAACUGGUUUCCAAAGGGUCUGUGCCUUUUUAUAUUCCCAGCAGCACUGUAGGACUGAUCCAGUUUUUCCACCUCUUGCCAACACCAAGACAACUUCAUGGUGUCAUCCUAGUGGGUAUGAAAUGGUAUCUCAAUGGCUUUUUUAAAAAUCAUGGCAAAAUAUACACAAGAUUUACCAUUUUAACCAUUUUUAAGUGUAUGGUUUAGUGGCAUUAAGUGAAUUCAGUUGUGCUGCUUUAACCCUAUACUUCUCCAGAACAUUUUUAUUAUCUUGAACUGAAACUCUUUACCCCUGAAGCAGUCAUCUCAUUGGGCUUUUGAUCUACAUUUUUCUCAUGAACAAUGGUAUUUUCAGGUGCGUGUUAACAGUCUGUUUAUCUUCUUUGAUGAAACGUCUAUUCAGAUCUUUUCCUUAUUUCUAAUUGGGUUGUCUUUUUAUCUUUGAGCCAUAAAGUUCUUCAUAGAUUCUGUUUAGAAUCCAUAUGUAAGUAUUUUCUAAGUAUUUUUCCCUCAGUCUGUGGCUCAUUUUUUUUAACGUUUAUUUUAUUUAUUUGUGUUUUUUAUUAAAAAAAAAAACAACACUUUUUAUUUUUUAUUGGGGUGUACCCAGUUAACAAACAUUGUUGUGAUAGUUUCAGGUGAACUGUGAAGGGACUCAGCCAUACAUAUACAUAUCUCCCUUAUCACCCCUGCCAUACUCCCCUCCAAUCCAGGCUGUGUGCUCAUCUUUUAAUUUUCUGAAUGGUGUCUUUUUAAAAAAAAGAUUUGUUUAUUUGGCUGUGCUGGGUGUUCGUUGUGGCAUGUGGGGUCUAGUUCCCCGACCAGAGGUCAAACCCAGGCCCCCUGCAUGGGGAGCGCAGUCUUAGUCAAUGGGCCAGCAGGAAAGUCUCUUAAUGGUGUUUUUUUUUUUCCUAAUGGUGUGUUUUAAAGAGCAAAAUUUUACAUUGUGAUGUUAAAUUUGAUACUUGUUGUCUAAUAUAUUAGUUUUUCUAUUUACAUAUUGUCUUUGUGUCAUACCUAAAAAAGUUUUUGCCUAGCCAAAAGUCAAAAAGUUCUCCUUUGUUUUCGUCUAUAAAUUUUAUAGUCUUAGCUCUUACAUUUAUGAUCUUUUUCAUAGCAACUUUUACGUAUAGUUGAGAUAAGGGUUUGAAUUUAUUUUUUUUGCCUGUGAAUGUCUAGUUUUCCCAGAACCACUUGCUGAAAAGGCCAUCUUUCCACGUUAUACUUUUGUUGGAAAUCAGUUAAGGAUAUUUUGGUCUCUUAAAUCUAUUGAUCUAUAUGUCUGUCCUUAUGACAGGACCACACUGUCUUGAUUACCUUGGCUUUAUAGAAAUUUUUGAAGUUUAGUAAGGAAAGUGCAACUUUGUUUCUUGGCAUGAUUGUUUUCCCUGUUGUAUUCUGCAUGUCUAUGAUUUUAAGGUCAGCUCGUUAGUUUCUGCUCAGAAUGUCAGCUGUGGUUUUGAUAGGGAUUGCACACUCAGAACCAGUGGACCUGGGUUGUUUGUUCUGGCACCACCGGUGAAACAUGGGUGUUCCAUGAAGUGCACAGAGCCUGGCUGGGAAGGGUAACAGGCAGGGGAAAGGCUUCUCCCCAGGUGUGGGAGGCAGCGCUGUGAGGCCUCUCUGACCGCAGCUGACCACUCUGGUACAGGGAGCUGAGCCCACCCUUUGCUCUGAAGCCUGAGGCCCCAAGGCACACCUGACUGCAGCUCUGAUCGCAAGCCCCCCUGCCGGCUGAAGGGAAGGGAAGGUCUGAGUUCAGGGGAUGAACAGAUGCCUCGGGAUGCUGGGGAGAGCUCAGGGAGACAGUCCCCAAGCUUGGCUCACUGCAUGCCUGCAGGAGUGUCCUGUGCCCAGCGCUCAGCUUCAGGUCAACGAUGGGGAGGGAGUGGAGAGGUGUCCUGAGAGCGGCCCCAGCGUGCUGUGCAGCGACCCCUGGGCCCUGCGCCUUCCUGUCUGGGGAUCCCUGGGCUCCUUGUUUGCCUUUUGUCCUGAGUCACAAAUGAUAGCCCAGAAGCCAACAUUCUAUAUAGCUCUCUCCAUGUAUAUAGAAAGAGUGGAGCUCGUACAUACCUAUCAACUUUGAAGUUUGGGGGGAAAUGGUCUUGAACCUUUAUAAAAUCAAAAGGCUCCACGUAAAACAUGGAUUUCUCACUCCUCUUGGAAAAGCAGCAAAUGAGACCACCAAAUGUGGACCCCACCAUCCCUGCCUCUGUUCUGGGCCCUGCCUCAGUGGAAACCAGCAGAUGAUGAGGGCAGGUGCCCCCAGGCUCACUUGCAGUGCCGCCUUUGCCCCUGAGAUCUGGGCUGCAGACCUCUCAGCCCCAGGGCUCCUGCCUUGCAGUGAUGGUCUUGCCGGGAGCAAGCCCAAGGAGGCCGAGGAGGCCGCCUGCCUACAGACUGUCGUCCGGCCACGAGCAGCACGCUGCGGCUCACACCUGCUCUCAGGUGGCCUCUGCACCCGUUCUCAGGUCAAGGUGAGCCUGCGUGGCACCUCCCUGCCAAGCUGAGCCCUCCUCUCACCCAGGGCUCUGCCAGCAAGUGUGGCAAACGUGACACACCACAGCCCUCCUGAGCUCAAACCCAGUGUGUCCACACUCAUGUGGGAUCUUAGUUGGCACACCAGGGCUGGAACCUGUGUCCCCUGCGUGGAAGCAUGGAGUAUUAACAGCUGGGGUGUGUGUGUGUGUGUGCGCGCGCAUGCCACACUCUGUCAUAUCCAACUCUUUGCGACCUCAAGGACAGUAGCCUGAGGCCCCUCUGUCCAAAGGAUUCUCCAGGCAAGAAUACUGGUGUGGGUUGCCAUUUGCUUCUCCAGGGGAUCUUCCUGGACUAGGGAUCGAACCCAUGUCUCCUGCAUUGGAAGCAGAUGCUUUACCAUCUGAGCCACCAGGGAAGCAUUAGCUGCUGGACCACCAGGGAAGCUGUGCCUCUGGGCCCUGAACCUGGAAAGCCAUGAAGGUUGUGACUGCUGAAGUCACCAGGAGCCCAGCCUGGGCAACAGGAGCCUCCCUGGCUUUUGCUGGUGGGGUGACAGCUCUCAGGAAUGUGGCUCAGGAGACUGCAGGAUUCAGGACAACUUCAGCUGCUCAGGGACCUUGAGCACGGUGUUAACAGAUGCGAGUUUGGCCCCUGUAGGUCUCACGGCCUGUGCCCUUGCCUGCUGGGCUCUGGCGUACCGUGUUGCCUGUUCCCUGUGUCCUACCAUUCCCCAUCUACGUAGAGGGGACCGGCCCCUGUCAGCCUGGAGUGGUGAUUAGAGGGAUCUGGUUUUUCUGGCCUGGCACAGAAAGAUGGCUCAUCUCCAGCUGGUGGCCACGCUAAGAUGCGCCUGGUUUGAGGGACCUGCUUCCUUAUUCUCAGACAGCUGUAUCCCUCAGAUCCUGUGAUUCCACCUCAGAGGCACAUGGACAUUGCUGUCACCACUGAGAAUCUGAUCCCUCAGCAUCUUGGCAGUGACCCAUUUCUUGUUCUGCCUCCUGGGCCACAGCCGUGGCUCCAAGGGGAUGCAAGUUUGAUCCCUGGAUGGGAAAAUACGAUCCCUCAUGCUGAGAUGCAAAUAAGCCUGAGUGCCACAACUGCUGAGCCCACAUGCUCUGGAGCCCGCAAGCCACAGGGAAGAUCCCGUGUGCCUCAAAUAAGACCUGACACUGCCAAAUAAAUAAAUACAUUUUUAAAAAAGA